rnacentral:lncRNA from 1 species
UUCUCUGUACGGCCGAGAAAGCCAUGGCAUCAGUAAAUGAAGCACUUUGAGAAAUGCCUGUUCUGUAAUUUGUUCUAAUUUGAGUGAGAACAAUUUUCUGAGAGGAGGGAAGCCAUAACAGAGUUUCUGCUAUCCUUGUACAGUAACUCCAUUUCAGGAUUGGGAAAAGAGCACUUAGGAAACCUGAAGAAUUUAUGAUCAGUGUGGGAUACAGAAUCUUUCACUGUUGAUCCGAGUUCUGUAAAAGCAAGAGGACUCCUGAUGGGAAUCUGGAAUCCACCUGAUACAGAGGAAGGCAAGAGAGGGAAGACUCCAUGUCCUCUUCCAUGAGGCUUUGGCCGGGAGAGAAAGGGGAUGGCUGUUCUUACCACACUAUCUUUAUGACUUUGUAACUGCUUCCUAGGUUUGCCAAGACAGUGUUGUGGAAUGACCAACUGGAAGAAGUCAGCUUGACCUCUGGAAUACUAAGAUAUGAAGGAAAAGAAGUCCUCAGCAAAGAAACACCAGCGUUUGCCUUAACAGCAGGGAGGACAAGAAGGACAUUUGUAGCAAGUAAGUUAGUCUUAGGGCUUCACUGCCUGAGCAAGGGGACCUUCUGGGGGCUGUCACCCCUGCUCUGACCACACAGCCUGCCCUCCAGAACCAGGUGUGAGGAGCUGCUGGGCAUCUCUGUGGGCGCAGCCAGGCCUUCCUGGACUCUGCCCCAGGACCACCCACCAC